rnacentral:rRNA from 1 species
UGCCAGCAUCCUCGGUAAUACGGAGGGGGUUAGCGUUGUUCGGAAUUACUGGGCGUAAAGCGCACGUAGGCGGAUUAAUAAGUCAGGGGUGAAAUCCCAAGGCUCAACCUCGGAACUGCCUUUGAUACUGUCAGUCUUGAGUUCGAGAGAGGUGAGUGGAAUUCCAAGUGUAGAGGUGAAAUUCGUAGAUAUUUGGAGGAACACCAGUGGCGAAGGCGGCUCACUGGCUCGAUACUGACGCUGAGGAGCGAAAGCAUGGGUAGCGAAGAGGAUUAGAUA